AAUAAUCAAUACCCAAUUACACCAGCCUCACUUAAAUGAAAACCCUCGUUUGUAUCAAUUCGAUUUCAUAAUCUAUUUCCUCUCUAGACUGAAAUUGUUUCCUCCAUAUUUUGGUGUUUCCUCCAUAUUUGAACUUGAAUUCGCCCAUGGCUGGUCGAUUUUGUUUCUUUCCCUUAUCAAUUUAGGCUGUAUUAUACUAGUGGAUAAGUGGGUGCUCAAUGUCUGAAUCUAGUUGUUCUUCGAAAAAGAGGUGCUUUUGUGGUAAUAUUUCCAACCACUUCACUUCAACCACUGUGUAUAACCCUGGUAGGAGAUUCUAUAAGUGCGCGAAACCUGGAAAUGAAUCAUGUGGUUUUUGGGAGUGGCAAGACGAAGUCUUACCGGACAGAGUUUUGGUUGUAAUUAACAAUUUCAAGUCGCAAGUUUGAUAUUGCUCAAGUUCAACUUAAUACCCUGAAUAUGGCAUUGGAUGCGUGCAAGAUUGAAAGGGAUAGACUGAUGGAAAAAGUGGAUGCAUUAGAGGCAAUAAAUAUUGUUGAAGUGAAUAAAGCAAGAGAGUUGGAAGAAAAAGUGUUGAAGUUGAAGAUGUUCAUUAUAAUUUCAUUUGCGCUAUUUGUUGGAUUUGUUGCGUCUUUCUUGAUGAAGUGAAGCUCUGAAUAUGUAGUAUUGUGUUGGUGGACACUAUGUAGUAUUUUGGAAUGAAGUUUUUGAUUUCAUUACUAUAUUUUGUAUUAUGGAUGAAGUUAACUGCAAUGAAGUUUUUGAUUUCAAUUA